GCGCGCUUCUUGAAAAUCCUGAAACUGAAGACAACAGUCCAGUGUACAGACAUGAGAAAUAAGUAGAACACACAGAAAACUGAGGAGAAUAGCUUCCAUUCAAAAUACUCUCAUCUCUAUGUUUACCAACUCAGCUGCAGCCUUACUAUCACGCCUCAAAGGCUCAAACAUUUUGCUAACGCACAAUAGACAUCUGACACAAAACCAUUUUAUUAUUCUUUUGAAACACAAACCAUUUUAUUAUUCCCUAUUCGCAAUAAUGCUAACCUAACAGAUACUGAUUUCAGAACUUAUAAUUACUAAUCUUUCCACUAAUCUAUUCCCAUG
rnacentral:misc_RNA from 1 species